rnacentral:rRNA from 1 species
CCUACGGGAGGCAGCAGUAGGGAAUCUUUCACAAUGGGCGAAAGCCUGAUGGAGCAACGCCGCGUGCAGGAUGAAGGCCUUCGGGUUGUAAACUGCUUUUAUAAGCGAGAAAUAUGAUGGUAACUUAUGAAUAAGGAUCGGCUAACUACGUGCCAUCAGCCGCGGUCAUACGUAGGAUCCGAGCAUUAUCCGGAGUGACUGUGUGUAAAGAGUUGCGUAGGUGGCAUAAUAAGUAGCUAGUGAAAUCUGGUGGCUCAACCAUUCAGACUAUUAGCUAAACUGUUAAGCUCGAGACCGUUAGGGGUAACUGGAAUUUCUAGUGUAGGAGUGAAAUCCGUAGAUAUUAGAAGGAACACCAAUAGCGUAGGCAGGUUGCUGGGACGGUUCUGACACUAAGGCACGAAAGCGUAGGGAGCAAACGGGAUUAGAUACCCGUGUAGUC